CCUACGGGAGGCAGCAGUGGGGGAUAUUGCACAAUGGGGGGAACCCUGAUGCAGCGACGCCGCGUGGGUGAAGGAGCGUUUCGGCGCGUAAAGCCCUAUCGGCAGGGAAGAAGGAGGACGGUACCUGACUAAGAAGCCCCGGCUAACUACGUGCCAGCAGCCGCGGUACUACGUAGGGGCCAAGCGUUAUCCGGAUUUACGGGGUGUAAAGGGGGCGCAGACGGCAGCGCAAGCCAGGAGUGAAAGAUCGGGGCGCGACCCCGGGACUGCACUUUGAACUGCGCGGCUGGAGUGCAGGAGGGGUAGGCGGAAUGCGUGGUGUAGCGGUGAAAUGCGUAGAUAUCAGGAGGAACACCGGUGGCGAAGGCAGCCUGCUGGACUGCGACUGACGUUGAGGCCCGAAGGCGUGGGGAGCAAACAGGAUUAGAUACCCGUGUAGUC
rnacentral:rRNA from 1 species